rnacentral:tRNA from 1 species
ACCUGGAUGGCUCAGCUGGUGGAGCAUGAGACUCCUGACCUUGGGGUUGUUGGUUCAAGCCCCACACUGGGUG